GACGGAGGAUGCAAGUGUUAUCCGGAAUCACUGGGCGUAAAGCGUCUGUAGGUUGUUUAAAAAGUCUGCAGUUAAAGGUUGAAGCUUAACUUCAAAAAUGCCGUAGAAACUUUUAAACUAGAGGAUGGUAGGGUAGAGGGAAUUUCCAGUGGAGCGGUGGAAAUGUGUAGAUAUUGGAAAGACCACCGAUGGCGAAGGCACUCUACUGGGCCAUGACUGACACUGAGAGACGAAAGCUAGGGGAGCAAAUGGG
rnacentral:rRNA from 1 species